GCUGCAAGAAAAAGAAGGGAGCAAGGAAACCACCACAUAGCAACAAAAGGGGAAUGUACAAAUCCAGUUUAAAAGUUUUAAGUUCCCCCCUGCAAGUAAACUCAUAAAAAAGUGUCACAUAUUGUGGGCAACCACAGAGAUGACCUAGGAGAAAGAAUGUGGCAAAACACAAAUUAAGGACCCAAAAGGAAGAAAAUGUUAGAAACAAACUUAGGCAGACUUGCUGUAAUUGUCUUUGGUAUAAGAGGGAGGGAAAGGAGAACACCAUCAGGCUUUCAAGAUACUAUUGCUAUAGCCUAUAUCAAGAAAGCAGAGUUCCAGUGUAUCUUGUGGUCUCUGCUUUCUGAAUUGGCCUAUCGUAAAGAUUAGCAAAUACCCAAUUCCCAAAAAUGCUCGUCUUGAUGUAACUUAAAAAGGACCACCUAUAGGCAACUUGGAAAGAAGAGAGUGAUGGCAAGCUCAGGGAAAUUCCAGGGCUUCUUGGAAUACCUUCCUCCACCCCUCCCCCAAUCAUUAAGGAAAAACCAGAGGACAUCAAGAAGCAGACCAAGGCUGUCUAGUGAAAACAGUAUGUUCAGUAGAAGUAAUGUUAUUUUGAGGGGGGGAGGGAAUGCCAUGAAGAAAGUACACUUAUAGUAAAAUAUUUUAUUCUAUAGCCCACCCGUUCCUUGCAUGGAUGGAUAGGAAUUCUGUCAGUCUUCAUGGCCUUUAUCAGAUGUCACAAAGACUAAAAAGGAAGUGCUGGUGUCAAAGUUAAGCAAGCAGUAUUGGCGGGGCAGGGGAAUCUGCCAAUUCUGCCUUGGCAAAGACCAUACCUCCAAACUAGUGUAACAUUUAAAUAAAUUCACUGUAUAUCAAUGCAAUGAAGAAACAUAAACACCUAUCUGACUUUUCUGCUAGCCAGAUGGAGAGACGGACAAACGAGUACUCCUUUAAAAAGUAACAGAGCAAGCAUGCCUGACUCCUUAGGGCAGGGGUGAUGGAAGGGGCUGGAAUACAGACACGCCUGCCUUUUUGCAAGUUGCCUUCCCAGUAAUCCUUAUAAAAAUAGAGGGUGGGUUGAGGGUGAGGAAAACUAGGGAUCCAUGUGAGUAACCCUGCAGAUUUAGCUUUGCUGCCUGAUAAGCUUUCAAUAUAUGGUUUUGGAUACCUGUUAAACCCAUUAAAGAAGUAAAGAUGUUAAAGCUUU